rnacentral:lncRNA from 1 species
GCUAAGUUCCAGGAUCCUUGGGCAUGUGUUUUAACCCAGUCAGUUCAUUGGGAAGGAAAGUGAUGUUUUUUGUUUUUUCAAAUUAGAAAGUGAUGCAGGUUCAUUGUUUUAAAAAAGAGAGAAAAGGAAGUAAGGAAGGGGGAGGAGGAGAAAUUAAAGAAGGGAUGGCAGUUCCCGUCUUGGCGCAGUGGAAAUGAACCCGACUCGGAGCCAUGAGGUUGCAGGUUCCAUCCCUGGCCUUGCUCAGUGGGUUAAGGAUCCGGUGUUGCUGUGAACUUGGUGUAGAUCGCAGAGGCGGCUCGGACCUGGCGUGGCAACAGCUCCGAUUCGACACCUAGCCUGGGAACCUCCAUAUUUAGGGAACCUCCCUAAAAAGACAAAAGACAAAAGGCAAAAGACCAAAAAAAAUAUAAAUAAAUAAGAAAGAAGGAUGGAGGGAGGAGAGAGAAACUAAAAUGUUACAGAGGAAAUAAGCUACUGUCUCCCCGUGUGGAGGCCACAGCACGCAGUAUACACUGCUGUCUUCCAGGCUUUUCUCUGUGCCUGAACAGACAUGAGCAGGGCCCUUUAGCAGCGUCUCCCUGUUUCUCCAACACUCCAGCCCAGCACGUUCUCCUGGGCGCCUGCUGGGUGCUGGGCCAGGGGAAGGAGGGAGCCUCGGGUGAUGUGUACCAGGUGUGAGGGUUACUCCAACCCAUCUCCCCUCAUCCCGGUCAGCGGACCUGCUGGCCCCCGUUGCACUAACAAGAAAACUAAGACCCGGAAAAGUUAAGUCAUUUGCCCAAAGUCAUAGAAAGUGCAGGUGGUAUCAGACCCAGCUUUUAUCUGGGAUUCCAGCAAGUCCUCCAAGACCGAGUCUAGAUCAAAACAGGCUUUCAGGAGUUCCCGUCGUGGCGCAGUGGUUAACGAAUCCGACUAGGAACCAUGAGGUUGCUGGUUCGAUCCCUGGCCUCGCUCUGUAGGUUAAGGAUCCGGCGUUGCCCUGAGCUGUGGUGUAGGUCGCAGAUGAGGCUUGGAUCUGGCAUGGCUGUGGCUGUGGCUCCGAUUAGACCUCUAGCCUGGGAACCUCCAUAUGCCGUGAGUACAGUCCUAAAAAGCAAAGCAAAAAAAAAAAAAAAAAA